rnacentral:lncRNA from 1 species
GAGAGAGAGAGAGAGAGAGAGAGGGAGAGACCUGGCCUUCAAUGGAUAGGAGUAGCAUGAAGACAAAGCUUAGAACCACCAUGCGCAUUUUGCUUGCCAUGGCCGAGCUAAAGAAGGAAGAAUACUGGGAUUAGAAAGCCUUGUGUUCUCCUGGCUGAGGAUUUGGUGAGGGAGCUGGGGUUGAUAUAGGCCGUUGGGGUUGGCUCUAUGCACAAAAAGACAGUACACAUCAUGCAAUCACAAAAAAAGAAUGCAAUAAUGCUACAGUUGGGGAAGUUGAAC